rnacentral:rRNA from 1 species
GGGGAAUUUUGGACAAUGGGCGCAAGCCUGAUCCAGCCAUUCCGCGUGCAGGAUGAAGGCCCUCGGGUUGUAAACUGCUUUUGUACGGAACGAAACGGCGCUUUCUAAUACAGAGCGCUAAUGACGGUACCGUAAGAAUAAGCACCGGCUAACUACGUGCCAGCAGCCGCGGUAAUACGUAGGGUGCAAGCGUUAAUCGGAAUUACUGGGCGUAAAGCGUGCGCAGGCGGUAAUGCAAGACAGAUGUGAAAUCCCCGGGCUCAACCUGGGAACUGCAUUUGUGACUGCAUUGCUGGAGUGCGGCAGAGGGGGAUGGAAUUCCGCGUGUAGCAGUGAAAUGCGUAGAUAUGCGGAGGAACACCGAUGGCGAAGGCAAUCCCCUGGGCCUGCACUGACGCUCAUGCACGAAAGCGUGGGGAGCAAAC